GCCGUUGUCGAACAUGUCCUCGGACUGCGGGUCCAGGGUCCAGUAGUUGCCCUUGCCCGGGUUGCCCGGCUCGCGGGGGAUCUUGACGAAGCAGUCGUUGAGUGAGAGGUUGUGGCGGAUGCUGUUCUGCCAGGCGGGGAACUUCUCCCUGUAGUAGGGGAAGCGGUUGCUGAUGAACUCGCAGAUGCCGCUCAGGGUCAGCUUCUUCUGCGGGCUCUGCAGGAUGGCCAUGGUGAUGAGCGCGAUGUACGAGUAAGGCGGCUUCACUAGGCUGUUCUUGGGCUUGCUCGGGGCCAGGCCUCCCGCCGAACCGCUGCCCGCGCCAGGCCCGCCGCCGCUCGCGCCGCCCUCCUCGCCGCCAACACCGCCCUUGCAGCCGUCCGCCUCCGGCGCGCCCACGUCGCCCCCCGGUCCGGCCCCGGCUCCGGCCGCCUCCUUGGGCAAUGUCAGGGGCUGCUGGUGGGGCGGCUGAGGCUGUCCGUGAUGGGGUGCCGCCGGGGGCACCUCGUCCGCCUCGUCCAGGCGCAGCUCCGGCGGCCCCGCGGGGCUAUCGCAACCUGCGUCGCUGUCCUUCUCUUCCAGCCCGUCGUCGCCCUCGCCCACCACAUCGAUGUCCACGUCCUCGGCCGUCAGCACCGUCUGGCCGGACAUGUCGCUGGCGCUGCCGCCGCCGGAGAGGGUCAUCCCUCCUCGGGGUUGGUAGCGGCGGCGGGGAGGGGGCAGCGGGCGAUGAGGGUGUUCGGGGGCUGCCACGGAGCUCAGGGGAAGAGGGUUUGAGUGCCCCCGAAAGAUGGGGGGCAGGGAGAGGGGAGGGGGCCGCAGGUGGCUUGGGGCCCGCUGGGCUCAGCUCACACUCGGCGGCCCCGCAUCGCGUGGCGCGGGCUCUGCCGUCCGCCCCCAGCGGCCGCGCUCCGCGAACUCCUGCCGUCCCUGGCGCUCGGUACUAGGCGCUCGCUACCGCUCCCGGCCCCGGCGGUUCUCCACGCCGCGCCCCCUCACUUAGCCCGCCUUCCUCGGCCUCUGGCCCUGGCGUGGGGCGCAGGAGCGGUCCAGGCGGGCGCGGGACGCCGGGCGCCGAGCAGCUCGGGAGGGCGCGGGCAGGGACAGUAGCGGGGGGGCAGGGGGCUGGGUGUCAGGGACGCCGAAGCCCCGGUAGUCGAAAGUCCCGUUUUAAGGACUGGCCUGAUAGAUUACUUUCUACUUAAAGAUCCAGCGGGAGGCGGGGCCACGUGACCGUGCGUGACGUCAGGGCCGCGGCCGAGCCGGCCAAACUCAAGUUGGUUCAGGGAAUUGUCAACAAAGGGACGAGAGACGCGCAACUCCGCUCCGCACUGUGCGCCAGCAUCCCCGGGGCACGGAGGGCGCUGCGGCCCGCCCGGAGACCCCCCCACCCAGGCUGGAUCCGGGCCCUGGGGCCCAGGGAGCGGGUGGGUGUGAGUGUGGGUGGGUGUGAGCGAGUCAGGGCGUGGGCCUGGGAGCGUCCGCGGGACUGUGCGACUGUCGCUGCCCUGCCUUCCCCGCCCCCUCUCCCUUCCGCCCUUCUCCCCCCCACUUUGUCACACUCCUUAGACAGGGACUGGGCGACCUAGAACGAGGUUCCCAUAUCGUGUUUUAAAAAGCAAAACUUAGUCUCUGUUUUGCUUUUUGUUUCAUUGUUUUUAGCUUUAAAGAGUAAGAGCAGCGCACCCGGCUCCCUCCUGCUAAUUAGAUUUCAGAUUCCCCUCUGGCCUCAGUGCUCAUUCCGGGGAAGACACCUGCUGAGAUGUCUUUUUCCCCCUCCCCCAACCAAACCACUCAGGUCCUACCUGCUCUUUCCCGGCUUGAUGCGGGCGUGUUUUCCUGUAUGUAUUUUUUCGUGCGGCCACAAAAAGCAUCAGCUGGGGUUCCCGAAGGUCAGAAAAUGGCUAUUGAUUAAUCUACUAGAAUAGUUGCCGAGAGAAAUAAAAACGACGUAAAAUAGCAGGGAACCUAUAAAUAAAGAAGCCAUAACUGGCUACUUGGAGUUGUUAAACGACUUAGCAUAUGAAAAAAUCGGAAAUGAGGCGCUGGGGAAGGAGCUGGGAUUGGCAGCGGCCUGGGUAAGUCGAGUGGAUCCGGGAAGAGGCCUGGUGUCUUCAGGUGUGGACAAAUCCUCCAAGAUUUAACUUCCAAGAAAACCGGCGGCGGAGCGGGUGGAGGAGGCGAGGAUGUGUGGCCAAUGCACGCGGAGUGCAAGGCAAGCCGCCUAGUUGGGAGCCGCAAGAGCCUGCCUGGUGUGGCAGGCACACGGAACCCAAUCCCUGUCUGUCCGCUGCGGCCUGGGAGGGGAGCGCCGGCCUCACCAGAGGAAGGAGCACGAGGGGAGGAGUUCCGAGAGGAAAUAAUUAGUGAAAUAUUUGCAGAAGAUGCUGGGAUGUGGAUUUAAUUCCGGAUGGACAGUGGUGCUUCUGAUUCCCUCAGUCUGUUUCCCCACCCACGAUCUCCUCUUUCCUUGGCCUAGACACACCAAAAAUAAUUCAAUAAAAUAAAAAUAAAAAUUUAAAAAUCUGUAAACUUGCUUCAUUACAGGCAUUGAGACACACAGAUUGACUUUCAUCCCCAUUAGACAGUUUCCCAGGAUAUAACACUACUCAUCUGAGGCUGGGAGCAGGGUAGGGGGUGGUGACACUAUCCUGAGACGCCCGCCAACCUCCACAGUUUUUCUUUAUCUAAAUGAUCCCGAGGUUGCACACGGCCCUAAAACGCAUCUCAGAGUUGAUUUCCGUAGCUCCACAGCUUUGUGGCCCGCAGGCUCCGAACCGUUUACAAUGCCGUCUAGACAGCUUUCCGCGAAACCGACCCGAGCUGAGCUGGCUGGCCAUCGCCCAGGACUGCAGAGGUCGCGUCUGCAACUGCCUCAGCAACCGAAGUGUCGGAAGGUCCAAAAAAAAAAAAAAAAAAAGCUAAAAAGCGGAAAUUUACACAUUCAGGAACCUCCUUUGCUCUGCUUGGGUUGCCCAGCCCUAAAGGCAGGGGCCCGGGGCGCAGCGCUGGCCCUGCCGCGGCCUUGGUGGCUGGGCCCGCGUGGACUAGUAUGUGUGGAUGCGCGCCGGAGGAUGGUGGCUACAGGGCUCCCCUCACCGGUCUCGAAGUAGUCUCCAAAUGAGCCUAAUUUCGAUUCCGCCGUCCGCAGAGGCUAGCUCUCUGGACUCCCUCCACGCUGCUGGUCGCUGCCUCCUACCCUCCCUCUGCCACGGCCCAGCCUGAUCCGUCCAUUCCCCGGUGUCUCCUUGGAACCUCCCUGGGGAAGGGGGUGGAGGACGAACAACUCCCAGCUGCCGGUUCCAUUUGUUGCGCUUUUUUCCUUCGACACAAUAAAAGUCAAAUUAAUUGAUUCAUACCAUUAAUUACGGCGCGUAGCGUGAAAAGCAACGCUUCCCCUCGGUUAGAGAUCUAUUGUGCUAAUCUCUUGUUCAAUCAGUGUUACCAUCUGAUGCUGGGUCCGGCCCUUACAGAAACUUUUCGACUCGAUUAGCUAAAUGAUGAGACGUGCACAACCUACUGGCUGCGGCCCCGACGUCCCGCGCCCGCGCCGGCCUAAUAUCGAUUUCCAGCGGAGGCAGAGGAUUUUUCCGCGGCCGCUCUCGGCUCAGGAACCGGCCGCCGGCUUUCUCCCUCCAGGCGGACCAUAGCGCCUGCACAACCUCCGGGGGCGGGAAGGAGGCGAAGCGGCGGCCGGGGAGGGCGACAGGAAGGUUCCUGCUGGCCUUGACGCAGGAGGCCGCCCCAGCGGAAGGGUCCG
rnacentral:lncRNA from 1 species